UGGGGAAUAUUGGACAAUGGGCGCAAGCCUGAUCCAGCCAUGCCGCGUGAGUGAUGAAGGCCCUAGGGUUGUAAAGCUCUUUCACCGGUGAAGAUAAUGACGGUAACCGGAGAAGAAGCCCCGGCUAACUUCGUGCCAGCAGCCGCGGUAAUACGAAGGGGGCUAGCGUUGUUCGGAUUUACUGGGCGUAAAGCGCACGUAGGCGGACUUUUAAGUCAGGGGUGAAAUCCCGGGGCUCAACCCCGGAACUGCCUUUGAUACUGGAAGUCUUGAGUAUGGUAGAGGUGGGUGGAAUUACGAGUGUAGAGGUGAAAUUCGUAGAUAUUCGGAGGAACACCAGUGGCGAAGGCGGCUCACUGGACCAUUACUGACGCUGAGGUGCGAAAGCGUGGGGAGCAAACAGG
rnacentral:rRNA from 1 species